rnacentral:rRNA from 1 species
AAUAGUCCUGUAUGUUAAACGAGAAGACUUUAGAUAUGAUCCAGAGUACCACGGGACACGUGAAACCCUGUGGGAAGCAGGAGGGACCACCCUCCAAGGCUAAAUACUACCUAGUGACCGAUAGCGUAUAGUACCGUGAGGGAAAGGUGAAAAGAACCCCGGGAGGGGAGUGAAAUAGAACCUGAAACCCUGCACUUACAAGCUGUGGAAGCACAUUUCUUGUGUGACCGCGUACUUUUUGUAGAACGGGCCAACGAGUUACGUUAAGUAGCAAGGUUAAGCACUUAAGGUGUGGAGCCGUAGCGAAAGCGAGUUUUAACUGAGCGUUCAGUUACUUGACGUAGACCCGAAACCGGGCGACCUACCCAUGAGCAGGAUGAAGCGAAAGUAAAAUUUCGUGGAGGUCCGAACCCACGAGCGUUGAAAAGCUCGGGGAUGACUUGUGGGUAGCGGUGAAAUUCCAAUCGAGCCCGGAGAUAGCUGGUUCUCCCCGAAAUAGCUUUAGGGCUAGCCUCAAGGUGAGAGAUACGGAGGUAGAGCACUGAAUGUCCUAGGGGGUAUUGCACCUACCGAAGACUAUCAAACUCCGAAUGCCGUCAUCUUAUACUUGGGAGUCAGACUGUGGGUGAUAAGAUUCAUAGUCGAAAGGGCAACAGCCCAGAUCGUCAGCUAAGGUCCCUAAAUGUAAGUUAAGUGGUAAAGGAUGUGGGAUUGCACAGACAACCAGGAUGUUGGCUUAGAAGCAGCCACUCAUUCAAAGAGUGCGUAAUAGCUCACUGGUCGAGUGAUCCUGCGCCGAAGAUUUCCGGGGCUAAAACUUACUACCGAAGCUACGGCAUCAGUAAUGAUGGGUAGGGGAGCUUCCCAUACGGGUUGAAGCAUGACCGUAAGGACAUGUGGACAGUAUGGGAGUGAGAAUGUUGGCAUGAGUAGCGAGAUGUGGGUGAGAAUCCCACAGGCCGUAAACCCAAGGUUUCCAGGGGAAGGUUCGUCCGCCCUGGGUUAGUCGGGACCUAAGCUGAGGCCGAAAGGCGUAGGUGAUGGACAACAGGUUGAUAUUCCUGUACUACCGAUAACCGUUUGAGAGAAGGGAUGACACAGUAGGAUAAGCUAAGCACACUGUUGGUUAUGUGUGCCCAAGCAUUGAGGCAGUCAAAGUAGGCAAAUCCGCUUUGAUAAUGCUGGGAUGUGAUGGGGAGCGAAAUUUAGUAGCGAAGUAGCUGAUUUCACACUGUCAAGAAAAGUCUCUAUCGAGGUUAAAGGUACCCGUACCGCAAACCGACACAGGUGGGUGAGGAGAGUAUCCUAAGGCCAGCGAGAGAACUGUUGUUAAGGAACUCGGCAAAAUGACCCCGUAACUUAGGGAUAAGGGGUGCCACCAUCAGGUGGCCGCAGAGAAUAGGCCCAAGCGACUGUUUACCAAAAACAUAGGUUUCUGCUAAGUCGCAAGACGAUGUAUAGGAGCUGACGCCUGCCCGGUGCUGGAAGGUUAAGGGGAUCUGUUAGAGCAAUCGAAGCAGUGAACUUAAGCCCCAGUAAACGGCGGCCGUAACUAUAACGGUCCUAAGGUAGCGAAAUUCCUUGUCGGGUAAGUUCCGACCCGCACGAAAGGCGUAACGAUUUGGGCACUGUCUCAACAACAGACUCGGUGAAAUUGUAAUUCCGGUGAAGAUGCCGGAUACCUGCGACAGGACGGAAAGACCCCAUGGAGCUUUACUGUAGCUUGACAUUGGGUCUUGGUACUACAUGUACAGGAUAGGUGGGAGGCUUUGAAACCAGGACGCCAGUUUUGGCGGAGCCAUCCUUGGGAUACCACCCUUGUAGUACUGGGACUCUAACCAUAGGCCAUGAAUCUGGUCUUGGGACACUGUCAGGUGGGCAGUUUGACUGGGGCGGUCGCCUCCCAAAAGGUAACGGAGGCGCUCAAAGGUUCUCUCAGUACGGUCGGAAAUCGUACGUAGAGUGUAAAGGCAAAAGAGAGCUUGAUUGCAAGACAUACAGGUCGAGCAAGGAUGAAAAUCGGACUUAGUGAUCCGGUGGUUCUGCGUGGAAGGGCCAUCGCUCAACGGAUAAAAGCUACCCUGGGGAUAACAGGCUUAUCUCCCCCAAGAGUCCACAUCGACGGGGAGGUUUGGCACCUCGAUGUCGGCUCAUCACAUCCUGGGGCUGUAGUAGGUCCCAAGGGUUGGGCUGUUCGCCCAUUAAAGUGGUACGCGAGCUGGGUUCAGAACGUCGUGAGACAGUUCGGUCCCUAUCCGUCGCAGGCGUAGGAAAUUUGAGAAGACCUGUCCUUAGUACGAGAGGACCGGGAUGGACGUACCUCUGGUGUACCAGUUGUCCUGCCAAGGGCAUGGCUGGGUAGCUAUGUACGGAAUGGAUAAGCGCUGAAAGCAUCUAAGCGCGAAGCCAACUUCAAGAUAAGAUUUCCCACCGCAAGGGUAAGACCCCAGAAAGACUAUCUGGUUGAUAGGUCGAAGGUGUAAGUGCAGCAAUGUAUUUAGCUUAUCGAUACUAAUAGGUCGAGGACUUGACCAA